rnacentral:rRNA from 1 species
CCUACGGGAGGCAGCAGUCGAGAAUAGUCUACAAUGGCCGGAAGGCUGAUAGUGCGACGCCGCGUGAACGAGGGAGCCCUUCGGGGUGUAAAGUUCUUUUCUAUACGAGCAGUGCUAUAUAUAUGGAUAGUAUAUAUAGAGGGAUAGUAGUAUAGGAAUAAGCAACGGCUAACUCCGUGCCAGCAGCCGCGGUAAU